UCACCUCUGCAGGCUGGCCAGCCCCCAGGCUGGGCUGGGCGAGUAUCUCUUCGAAAGGCUCACCGUCAAGUACUACUAGGAGC
rnacentral:pre_miRNA from 1 species